rnacentral:rRNA from 1 species
UACGAAGGGGGCUAGCGUUGCUCGGAAUUACUGGGCGUAAAGGGCGCGUAGGCGGCGUGACAAGUCACUUGUGAAAUCUCCGGGCUUAACUCGGAACGGUCAAGUGAUACUGUCGUGCUAGAGUACAGAAGGGGCAACUGGAAUUCUCGGUGUAGCGGUGAAAUGCGUAGAUAUUGGGAGGAACACCAGUGGCGAAGGCGGCUCACUGGACCGGAACUGACGCUGAGGCGCGAAAGCGUGGGGAGCAAACAGG